rnacentral:rRNA from 1 species
UUACGGAAGGCAGCAGUGGGGAAUCUUGCGCAAUGGGCGAAAGCCUGACGCAGCAACGCCGCGUGUGUGAUGAAGGUCUUCGGAUCGUAAAGCACUGUCGGGAGGGACGAAUAAGGUGCGGGCUAACAUCCCGCGUCGAUGACGGUACCUCCAAAGGAAGCACCGGCUAACUCUGUGCCAGCAGCCGCGGUAAUACAGAGGGCGCAAGCGUUGUUCGGAAUUAUUGGGCGUAAAGCGCGUGUAGGCGGCUUCGCAAGUUGGGUGUGAAAGCCCUCGGCUUAACCGAGGAAGUGCGCCCAAAACUACGAGGCUUGAGUACCGGAGAGGGUGGCGGAAUUCCCGGUGUAGAGGUGAAAUUCGUAGAUAUCGGGAGGAACACCAGUGGCGAAGGCGGCCACCUGGACGGAUACUGACGCUGAGACGCGAAAGCGUGGGUAGCAAACAGGAUUAGAUACCCCUGUAGUCCA